rnacentral:rRNA from 1 species
UACGUAGGUGGCAAGCGUUGUCCGGAAUUAUUGGGCGUAAAGCGCGCGCAGGCGGUUUCUUAAGUCUGAUGUGAAAGCCCACGGCUCAACCGUGGAGGGUCAUUGGAAACUGGGAAACUUGAGUGCAGAAGAGAAGAGCGGAAUUCCACGUGUAGCGGUGAAAUGCGUAGAGAUGUGGAGGAACACCAGUGGCGAAGGCGGCUCUUUGGUCUGUAACUGACGCUGAGGCGCGAAAGCGUGGGGAGCGAACAGG